rnacentral:rRNA from 1 species
UAGCAGGAAUUCCCAGUGUAGCGGUGAAAUGCGUAGAUAUUGGGAAGAACAUCGGUGGCGAAGGCGUGCUACUGGACCGUAACUGACAUUCAGGGACGAAAGCUAGGGGAGCGAAAGGGAUUAGAUACCCCUGUAGUCCUAGCUGUAAACGAUGGAAACUAGGUGUGGCUUGUAUCGACCCGAGCCGUGCCGUAGCUAACGCGUUAAGUUUCCCGCCUGGGGAGUACGCACGCAAGUGUGAAACUCAAAGGAAUUGACGGGGGCCCGCACAAGCGGUGGAGUAUGUGGUUUAAUUCGAUGCAACGCGAAGAACCUUACCAGGGCUUGACAUGUCGCGAAUCUCGGUGAAAGCUGAGAGUGCCUUCGGGAGCGCGAACACAGGUGGUGCAUGGCUGUCGUCAGCUCGUGUCGUGAGAUGUUGGGUUAAGUCCCGCAACGAGCGCAACCCUUAUUUUUAGUUGCCAGCAUUAAGAUGGGCACUCUAGAAAGACUGCCGGUGACAAACCGGAGGAAGGUGAGGACGACGUCAAGUCAGCAUGCCCCUUACGCCCUGGGCUACACACGUACUACAAUGGUUGGGACAAAGGGCAGCGACUCCGCAAGGAAUAGCGAAUCUCAUCAAACCCAGCCUCAGUUCAGAUUGCAGGCUGCAACUCGCCUGCAUGAAGGAGGAAUCGCUAGUAAUCGCAGGUCAGCAUACUGCGGUGAAUUCGUUCCCGGGCCUUGUACACACCGCCCGUCACACCAUGGAAGCUGGUCACGCCCGAAGUAGUUACCCUAACCUUUCGAGGAGGGGGAUUCCUAAGGCAGGGCUAGUGACUGGGGUGAAGUCGUAACAAGGUAACC